CGCGUAGGCGGUCGGGUAAGUCGAGUGUGAAAUUCCGGGGCUCAACCCCGCGAACUGCAUUCGAUACUGCUCGACUAGAGAGAGGUAGGGGCGAGUGGAAUUCCCGGUGUAGCGGUGGAAUGCGUAGAUAUCGGGAAGAACACCGGUGGCGAAGGCGGCUCGCUGGGCCUUUUCUGACGCUGAAGCGCGAAAGCGUGGGGAGCAAACA
rnacentral:rRNA from 1 species